CAUCCAGACUCCUACGGGAGGCAGCAGUGGGGGAUAUUGCACAAUGGGGGAAACCCUGAUGCAGCGACGCCGCGUGGGUGAAGAAGUAUUUCGGUAUGUAAAGCCCUAUCAGCAGGGAAGAAAGAAGACGGUACCUGACUAAGAAGCCCCGGCUAACUACGUGCCAGCAGCCGCGGUAAUACGUAGGGGGCGAGCGUUAUCCGGAUUCACUGGGUGUAAAGGGAGCGUAGACGGCCGUGCAAGCCAGGAGUGAAAGCCCGGGGCCCAACCCCGGGACUGCUCUUGGAACUGUGCGGCUGGAGUGCGGGAGGGGCAGGCGGAAUUCCUGGUGUAGCGGUGAAAUGCGUAGAUAUUAGGAGGAACACCAGUGGCGAAGGCGGCUUACUGGACAGUAACUGACGUUGAGGCUCGAAAGCGUGGGGAGCAAACAGGAUUAGAUACCCCGGUAC
rnacentral:rRNA from 1 species